rnacentral:rRNA from 1 species
GAGGUUAAGUGAAUAAGCGUACACGGUGGAUGCCUGGGCAGUCAGAGGCUGAAGGGCGUGCUAAUCUGCGAAAAGCGUCGGCAAGCUGAUAUGAAGCAUUAUAACCGACGAUACCCGAAUAGGGAAACCCAGUGCAGUUCGUUGCACUAUCAUGUCAUGAAUACAUAGUGGCAUGAGGCGAACCGGGGAACUGAAACAUCUCAGUACCCCGAGGAAAGAAAUCAACCGAGAUUCCCCCAGUAGCGGAGAGCGAACGGGGAAAAGCCCAGGGUCUGAAUCAGCUUGUGUGUCAGUGGAAGCGUCUGGAAAGUCGCACAGUAAAGGGUGAUAGUCCCGCACACGAAGACGGACAGGUUGUGAGCUCGAUGAGUAGGGCGGGACACGUGUUAUCCUGUCUGAAUAUGGGGGGACCAUCCUCUAAGGCUAAAUAAUCCUGACUGACCGAUAGUGAACCAGUACCGUGAGGGAAGGCGAAAAGAACCCCGGCGAGGGGAGUGAAACAGAACCUGAAACCGUGUACGUACAAGCAGUGGGAGCAUCCUUCGGGGUGUGACUGCGUACCUUUU